GAGUGAUAGUGCCAGGCUUGGCUAAAACCAUCCCUCUUUGAAUAUCAGCCUUCUGAACACCUCUAAGCAACAACCCAACAUUAUCCCCAGCCAAAGCCUCAUCAAGAAUUUUCUGAAACAUUUCCACUCCUGUUACUGUUGUGUUUCUAGUUUCCCUCAAUCCCACAAUAUCCACUGUCUCUCCCACUCUAAUAGUGCCUCUUUCAACACGCCCUGUAGCCACAGUACCACGACCAGUAAUAGAAAACACAUCUUC
rnacentral:misc_RNA from 1 species